GAAAUGCGAUAAGUAAUGUGAAUUGCAGAAUUCAGUGAAUCAUCGAAUCUUUGAACGCACCUUGCGCUCCUUGGUAUUCAUUGGAGCAUGCCUGUUUGAGUAUCAUGAAAUCUUCAAAGUAAAUCUUUUGUUAACUCAAUUGGUUUCUACUUUGGUAUUGGAGGUCUUUGCAGCUUCACACCUGCUCCUCUUUGUUCAUUAGCUGGAUCUCAGUGUUAUGCUUGGUUCCACUCGGCGUGAUAAGUUAUCUAUCGCUGAGGACACUGUAAAAGGUGGCCAAGGUAAAUGCAGAUGAACCGCUUCUAAUAGUCCAUUGACUUGGACAAUACUUUUAUGAUCUGAUCUCAAAUCAGGUAGGACUACCCGCUGAACUUAAGC
rnacentral:misc_RNA from 1 species